UAACACCAGCGCCACAAGUGGCGAUCGUUUUUAUUGGGCCUAAAGCGUCCGUAGCUGGUUUGGUAAAUCUCUUGUGAAAUUGUUAAGCUUCACUUAACAGCGUGCAGGAGACACUGCCAAACUCGGAACCGGUAGGAGUCGGAAGUAUGGUAGGGGUAACGGUAAAAUGUUAUAAUCCCUACUAGACUACCUGUGGCGAAGGCGUCUGACUAGGACGGAUUCGACAGUGAGGGACGAAAGCCAGGGGAGCGAACCGGAUUAGAUACCCGAGUAGUCCUGGCCGUAAACGCUGUGAGCCAGGUGUUGCCUAUUCUUCGGGAAUAUGCAGUAUCGAAAUGAAGAUGCUAAGCUCACCGCCUGGGAAGUAUGGUCGCAAGGCUG
rnacentral:rRNA from 1 species